ACUGAUCUUAGCGUGCACGGAGAACUCUGGAAAUACUAAUUAGGAUAAUAUAUAACACACCUGUCGCAUUUUUGAAUUUUAUACAUUGCUCAGCAUAUGAACUGAAAACUUUGGCAUCGAGAAAAUAACGUGGCAACUUUCAUUGUGAGUUUUUUCUUAUAUUCGUUGGAGUUAAGAUUCAUAGAUCGAUAAUUCAGACCUAUAGUGUCCCAAACCACCUGAUCGUGAGCCUGUAUCGUGUUGGAAAAUUCAGAUGCCUCGAUGAUCCAUAACGAAAAAUGGCAGAACAGCCUGACUGGGAAACGUAAGGUCUAUUCCUUGCUAACCACGUCGAGAUUUCUCAGUCAACCGAAAUCGAAAAAGCUUUGCCAUAAAGUGACCGGGGAGAGCGGAGUAAUUCAUUGGAAUGACGUGGUCGUUCCGCGGUGAAACGAUGGAUACCGGUGGACAUUCUAUCUGGCCGUAUGACUGUAUGGAUGCCAUUGUUCGACGCUUUCCACAACCGGUUCCGUACGUGUUCGGAUGGAGUAACGACGGUAGUCUGCAGGAUAUUACCGAACGGCAUUGGUGGCAGAACGAGAUGGCAUCUAUGAGGUUGCGUGUAGCAGACUGCUAGAGGUUAUCCGUAACGCGGUGCAUGUGUUUUUGACGAAAUAAAUGUUAUAUUUUUAUCAA
rnacentral:lncRNA from 11 species